GGGGUGGAGCAGCCCGGUAGCUCGUCAGGCUCAUAACCUGAAGGCCGCAGGUUCAAAUCCUGCCCCCGCAACCA
rnacentral:tRNA from 14 species